CCUACGGGUGGCAGCAGUGAGGAAUAUUGGUCAAUGGACGAGAGCCUGAAGCAGCCAAGCAGCGUGAAGGAUGACGGCCCUAUGGGUUGUAAACUCCUUUUAUAUGGAAGUAAAUAGUUCUACGUGUGGGAUUUUGUCUGUACCAUACCAAUAAGGAACGGCUAAGCCCGGGCCAGCAGCGGCGGUAAUACGGAGGAUCGGUGCGUUAUCCGGAUUGAUUGGGUUUAAAGGGAGCGUAGGUGGAUUGUUAAGUUAGUUGUGAAAGUUUGCGGCUCAACCGUAAAGUUGCAGUUGAAACUGGCAGACUUGAGUACAGUAGAGGAGGGCGGAAUUCGAGGUGUAGCGGUGAAAUGCUUAGAUAUCACGAGGAACUCCAGUUGCGAAGGCAGCUCACUGGACUGCAACUGACACUGAGGCUCGAAAGUGUGGGGAUCAAACAGGAUUAGAUACCCGGGUAGUC
rnacentral:rRNA from 1 species